CCUACGGGGGGCAGCAGUGGGGAAUAUUGGACAAUGGGGGGAACCCUGAUCCAGCCAUGCCGCGUGUGUGAAGAAGGCCCUCGGGUUGUAAAGCACUUUCAGUGAGGAAGAACGCCUGGUGGUUAAUACCCAUCAGGAAAGACAUCACUCACAGAAGAAGCACCGGCUAACUCCGUGCCAGCAGCCGCGGUAAUACGGAGGGUGCGAGCGUUAAUCGGAAUUACUGGGCGUAAAGCGCGCGUAGGUGGCUUGAUAAGCCGGUUGUGAAAGCCCCGGGCUCAACCUGGGAACGGCAUCCGGAACUGUCAAGCUAGAGUGCAGGAGAGGAAGGUAGAAUUCCUGGUGUAGCGGUGAAAUGCGUAGAGAUCGGGAGGAAUACCAGUGGCGAAGGCGGCCUUCUGGACUGACACUGACACUGAGGUGCGAAAGCGUGGGUAGCAAACAGGAUUAGAUACCCCGGUAGUC
rnacentral:rRNA from 1 species